AGUGUACAUGCGUGUCGCCUCGUCGAGCCGCAGGCGAGCUGCAGGUUCAAGCCGUCACCUGCGCGUCGCCUCGUCGAGCCGCAGGCGAGCUGCAGGUUCAAGCCGUCACCUGCGCGUCGCCUCGUCGAGCCGCAGGAUCAUCUACAAAUCCGACCCAACUCCUCCACCAUAUCUACCAGGUGUCAUCGUCGCGGUGGAAAUCGCUGAGAAAUCGCUGAAGAAUCGUAGGUUGUAGAACUGGGGUCGGGUGGUGAACGAAAAGGGGCUUUUGCCACAGCAACUAUUGAGAACCACCGUCGAGGUUGACCCACUUGGAGACGGGGACCGCCGCUAGGCCCAGCAGCGCCGGCUCCUUGGCCCCAACUGGUCCUCAACUUGUCCCCUACUUCGACUUCACCUGGAGCGAGGUGAGUUGGAACUUUAAAUGUGGUCUCUCGUGUUUCAAAUGCACUUUGGAUUCUUAUGGCUUUUCAGAGAUCAUAGAUCUUACUCCAUCUUAGCUCCACAAGUGGAAGUGUGAUUUGAGUUGCUUUGAUUCUGAACCCAAAUAGAAUAGGAAAGGAUUUGAUCCCCAUGUUUAAAUGUUCUCUGGUCUAUUUGGUAAUUUAUUGCUUCGAAUUUAAAGGCAUGAGGAGUAGGUUAUUAAUGAUAGUUGCUCUUGCUAUUUGAAAUAGGCAAAGG